UUAGCUCAGUUGGUAGAGCAACGGACUGAAAAUCCGUGUGUCCCUGGUUCGAUCCCUGGA
rnacentral:tRNA from 1 species